rnacentral:rRNA from 1 species
GGCGGCGUGCCUAAUUCAUGCAAGUCGAGCGCAGGAAACAAGUAGAUCCCUUCGGGGUGACGCUUGUGGAAUGAGCGGCGGACGGGUGAGUAACACGUGGGCAACCUACCUUGUAGACUGGGAUAACUCCGGGAAACCGGAGCUAAUACGGGAUGAUCAUUUGAAUCGCAUGAUUGAAAUGUAAAAGUGGGGAGUAAUCCUCACACUAUGAGAUGGGCCCGCGGCGCAUUAGCUAGUUGGUAAGGUAAUGGCUUACCAAGGCAACGAUGCGUAGCCGACCUGAGAGGGUGAUCGGCCACACUGGAACUGAGACACGGUCCAGACUCCUACGGGAGGCAGCAGUAGGGAAUCAUCCGCAAUGGGCGAAAGCCUGACGGUGCAACGCCGCGUGAACGAUGAAGGUUUUCGGAUCGUAAAGUUCUGUUAUGAGGGAAGAACAAGUGCCGUUCGAAUAGGGCGGCACCUUGACGGUACCUCACGAGAAAGCCCCGGCUAACUACGUG